AGACCACCAUUUCAUAUAUGGGGAAACUGAGGCCCAGAGAGGUGAAGCAAGUAACCACUAAGUGGCCUAGCGAAGAUUCAAAUGCAGGCAGGCUGACUCCAGAGUCCAUGCUGUCUCUCCGAGGCUCAGAGAGGGGAGGGCCCUAGCCCCUAGCACAGUCAGGGAGGAGCCCAUGGAAGCUUCUGAUGGAAUGUGUGGGAUGGCAGGGGCUGUCGGGAGCUAGAGCAGAGAGAAUUCCAACUUUUGCCUUGGUGAGUGGAGCCAGGCUCCAUGGGGAGUCUGCGGGAGGACUUUCUGAUUACUGAAGUAGUGAGCGCCCUGUCAAGCAGGUGUGAGAGCAGAGUCUGAGGCCACCCUGUUGGAGGGCAGUUCAGAGGUGAGCGCUGGGCUUCCGAAGGGCCUGAGCCGUCAGAGCUGAACCGCCCACUAUGCAGGCAAAGGGCCCUGCCCAGGUGUUCACAUGGUAGGCUCGGACCGCCUGGCCGCCUUGCCCGCUGGCCACCUUCUCACUGCCUGCAGCUGCCUUCCCAUCCCCGCCACCACCCACACCCCACCAGGCUGUGGCGAAGGGGCAGGGGCCAAAUUUACUAUAGGCUGCAUGCCUGCCUCACUUUUUCCCAUGUGCCUGCUGCUGCUGCUGCUUCUUGGGAGGGAGGGUGGCCCGGUCACUACACAACAACCCCCACCUCCCAACAGAGAUGGUAGGACCCUCAGCUGACAGAUGCGGAACACUGAGCCCCAAUGAGGCAAAGCCAGAAGGGUCUUGAACGCCAAGCAAAGCAGGUGAACUUCAUCCUGGGGAGCCCCGGGAGCUCUUCGAUCAGAAGCGCCCGCCUGUGGCCCCGCCGCCGCGCCCCGCGCCGCCGAGCCCGGCCCCAGAACUUCUGAGUUGCCUGCAGUCAUCAUCCACACUUUUGCCUUAUCCGUGCGCCUGCUCGUCCCCUGGAGCCUUCUGCCGCUCGGGAAGACGCGCCCCGACACCGACAUCCACCCCCAGGGAAGCGCUACACCAGCCCCGGCGCGUGCCCGCGGGUGCGCACGCGCCCGCUGCCACCAGGACGUGACUCGCGGAACGUCCGCUCCCGGCGGCGGCAGCGGCGGCCGCGGGGGAAGGGGGGACAGGGAGGUGCCCCGACAAUGCGUCCAGCUUCUGCAGCCGUCAUCGUCUAGGUUGGGAGCUGUGACCCAGUGCUCUCGGUCCGGCAGUUUGAGAAGUUUCCGCCGGUUUCAGAAGUUUCCUCAAGCGCCUGAGGGCGUUCCUCCUGUGGGGUCUCCACUCAGGCACUUACUUAGCCACCCGUUCACCCUUCAGGGGUCCUCACCACCCUCCCUCCAGCUAAUUAAGUGACGGACGCAGUAACCUAGGCGACCGCCUGAUUGACAGGCAUGAUUACCAACCAACUUCAGGAAUAUCCCACCUGGGCCCGCCUGGCGCGUCG
rnacentral:lncRNA from 1 species